GACGAAGGAUGCAAGCGUUAUCCGGAUUCAUUGGGUUUAAAGGGAGCGUAGGUGGCCUUAUAAGUCAGUGGUGAAAUCUCUGGGCUUAACCCAGAAAUUGCCAUUGAUACUGUAGGGCUUGAGUAUAGUUGCCGUUGGCGGAAUAUGACAUGUAGUGGUGAAAUACAUAGAGAUGUCAUAGAACACCGAUUGCGAAGGCAGCUAACGAAACUAUAACUGACACUGAGGCUCGAAAGUGCGGGGAUCAAA
rnacentral:rRNA from 1 species